AGAGUUUGAUCAUGGCUCAGGAUGAACGCUGGCGGCGUGCCUAAGACAUGCAAGUCGAGGGGGUUUAGACCCCCGGCGAACGGGUGAGUAAUAACUAGGAACUUCCAUUAAGUUCGGGAUAACCCGCCGAAAGGCGGGACAAUACCGGAUGUGGCCGCAAGGCUAAAGAUUUAUCGCUUAAUGCAAGCCUAGCUCCCAUCAGCUAGUUGGUAGGGUAAAGGCCUACCAAGGCUAUGACGGGUAGCGGUACUGAGAGGUAGAACCGCCACACUGGGACUGCGACACGGCCCAGACUCCUACGGGAGGCAGCAGUUUGGAAUUUUGGACAAUGGGCGAAAGCCUGAUCCAGCGACGCCGCGUGCACGAAGACGGUCUUCGGAUUGUAAAGUGCUUUUGCCGCCGAAAAAUUUUUGAUUGUAGGCGGAGAAUAAGAGGUUGCUAACUCUGUGCCAGCAGCAGCGGUAAUACAGAGACCUCAAGCGUUAUCCGGAAUCAUUGGGCGUAAAGCGUACCGAUAGGUGGUCAUGAUAGUUUUGGGUAAAAGCCAGAAGCUUAACUUCUGCGUUUGCUCAAAAUACUUCACGACUAGAGGGGCAAAUAGGAAGCUGGAACGAAUGGUGUAGUAGUGAAAUGCGUUGAUAUCAUUCGGAACACCGAAAGCGAAGGCAGGCUUCUGGGUGCCACCUGACACUGCUAGGACGAAAGCGUGGGGAGCGAAUGGGAUUAGAUACCCUAGUAGUCC
rnacentral:rRNA from 1 species